GUCCAGACUCCUACGGGAGGCAGCAGUGGGGAAUAUUGCACAAUGGGGGAAACCCUGAUGCAGCGACGCCGCGUGAGUGAAGAAGUAUUUCGGUAUGUAAAGCUCUAUCAGCAGGGAAGAAAAUGACGGUACCUGACUAAGAAGCCCCGGCUAACUACGUGCCAGCAGCCGCGGUAAUACGUAGGGGGCAAGCGUUAUCCGGAUUUACUGGGUGUAAAGGGAGCGUAGACGGCAGUGCAAGUCUGGAGUGAAAGGCGGGGGCUCAACCCCCGGACUGCUCUGGAAACUGUACGGCUGGAGUGCAGGAGAGGUAAGUGGAAUUCCUAGUGUAGCGGUGAAAUGCGUAGAUAUUAGGAGGAACACCAGUGGCGAAGGCGGCGUACUGGACGGUAACUGACGUUGAGGCUCGAAAGCGUGGGGAGCAAACAGGAUUAGAUACCCCGGUAUUG
rnacentral:rRNA from 1 species